ACGGGAGGCAGCAGUGGGGAAUAUUGCACAAUGGGGGAAACCCUGAUGCAGCAACGCCGCGUGAAGGAAGACGGUCUUCGGAUUGUAAACUUUUGUUCUUAGUGAAGAAAGCAGACGGUAGCUAAGGAGAAAGCCACGGCUAACUACGUGCCAGCAGCCGCGGUAAUACGUAGGUGGCAAGCGUUGUCCGGAAUUACUGGGUGUAAAGGGAGCGUAGGCGGGUGACCAAGUUGGAUGUGAAAUGUCGAGGCUUAACCCCGGAACUGCAUCCAAAACUGUUCAUCUUGAGUGAAGUAGGGGUAGGCGGAAUUCCGAGUGUAGCGGUGAAAUGCGUAGAUAUUCGGAGGAACACCAGUGGCGAAGGCGGCCUACUGGGCUUUAACUGACGCUGAGGCUCGAAAGUGUGGGGAGCAAACAGGAUUAGAUACCCUGGUA
rnacentral:rRNA from 1 species